UGAGUUUGAUCCUGGCUCAGGAUGAACGCUAGCUACAGGCUUAACACAUGCAAGUCGAGGGGAAACGACAUUGAAGCUUGCUUCGAUGGGCGUCGACCGGCGCACGGGUGAGUAACGCGUAUCCAACCUGCCUCUGACUAAGGGAUAACCCGGCGAAAGUCGGACUAAUACCUUAUGAGGUUUUCUGCAGACAUCUAAUGAAAACGAAAGAUUUAUCGGUCAGCGAUGGGGAUGCGUCUGAUUAGCUUGUUGGCGGGGUAACGGCCCACCAAGGCAACGAUCAGUAGGGGUUCUGAGAGGAAGGUCCCCCACAUUGGAACUGAGACACGGUCCAAACUCCUACGGGAGGCAGCAGUGAGGAAUAUUGGUCAAUGGGCGAGAGCCUGAACCAGCCAAGUAGCGUGCAGGAUGACGGCCCUAUGGGUUGUAAACUGCUUUUAUGUGGGGAUAAAGUGAGCUACGUGUAGUUUAUUGCAGGUACCACAUGAAUAAGGACCGGCUAAUUCCGUGCCAGCAGCCGCGGUAAUACGGAAGGUCCAGGCGUUAUCCGGAUUUAUUGGGUUUAAAGGGAGCGUAGGCCGUGGAUUAAGCGUGUUGUGAAAUGUAGACGCUCAACGUCUGAAUUGCAGCGCGAACUGGUUCACUUGAGUAUGCACAACGUAGGCGGAAUUCGUCGUGUAGCGGUGAAAUGCUUAGAUAUGACGAAGAACUCCGAUUGCGAAGGCAGCUUACCGGGAGCACAACUGACGCUGAAGCUCGAAAG
rnacentral:rRNA from 1 species